rnacentral:rRNA from 1 species
AACUUUCAACAAUGGAUCUCUUGGCUCUGGCAUCGAUGAAGAACGCAGCGAAAUGCGAUAAGUAAUGUGAAUUGCAGAAUCCAGUGAAUCAUUGAAUCUUUGAACGCACAUUGCGCCCUCUGGUAUUCCGGAGGGCAUGCCUGUCCGAGCGUCAUUAU